CCUACGGGGGGCAGCAGUGGGGGAUAUUGGACAAUGGGGGGAACCCUGAUCCAGCGACGCCGCGUGAGUGAAGAAGGAUCUCGGUAUGUAAAGCUCUGUCAGCAGGGAAGAAAGAAAUGACGGUACCUGACUAAGAAGCCCCGGCUAACUACGGGCCAGCAGCCACGGUAAUAAGUAGGGGGGAAGCGUUAUCCGGAAUUACCUGGGGUAAAGGGAGCGUAGACGGUUAAGUAAGUCUGGAGUGAAAGGCCGGGGCCCAACCCCGGGACUGCCCUGGAAACUAUUGAACUUGAGUGUAGGAGAGGUAAGCGGAAUGCCUAGUGUAGCGGUGAAAUGCGUAGAUAUUAGGAGGAACACCAGUGGCGAAGGCGGCUUACUGGUGUGUAACUGACGUUGAGGCUCGAAAGCGUGGGGAGCAAACAGGAUUAGAUACCCGAGUAGUC
rnacentral:rRNA from 1 species